rnacentral:rRNA from 1 species
ACAACUUUUGGCAACGGAUCUCUUGGUUCUCGCAACGAUGAAGAACGCAGCGAAAUGCGAUAAGUAGUGUGAAUUGCAGAAUUCAGUGAAUCAUCAAAUCUUUGAACGCACAUUGCGCUUCCUGGUAUUCCGGGAAGCAUGCUCGUUUCAGAAUCAAUAAAAAACAUCAUUUUCA